rnacentral:misc_RNA from 1 species
AAUAAUAAUAAUAAUAAUAAUUCCACAACAAAAUGAGAAAUUAAAAAAAAAAUUAUUUUUUGCUGGUAAUGAAGGAAAAAUCUUUUCUUGGUCCAUUCAGCAAUUUAAUUACCAAGAUUCCCGUGUCAUGCUCUGUAUUGCAAAAGGACAAGUUUCUGAGAAAUUCCCCUACUCCCCCAAUUAUUUUGCAAGCCAAUUGUGGAUCUAAAUUAACUGUGAAUCUAAACUUGAAAAAAUAAGCAAUUCAUCAUGGUAUACCUGGUGCUGCUGUUGCUACUGCUACUUCUGCUGCUGCUGUCACCGCUUUUUGAGCUUCCACUAUUGCCACUAAAUCCACCAUUUUCAGUCUCUCCAGUCUCCAAGAAUUUUUGCUUCCACCACUCAUUUUCUACAACUUUUGCAGAUCCAUCUAAUAGCAGAGGCUUUGGAGACACAGUUCCAUCUCUUGUACUAUUAGUCAUUGCUAAAUUAU